rnacentral:rRNA from 1 species
CCUACGGGUGGCAGCAGUGGGGAAUAUUGGACAAUGGGGGGAACCCUGAUCCAGCCAUGCCGCGUGUGUGAAGAAGGCCCUCGGGUUGUAAAGCACUUUCAGUGAGGAAGAACGCCUGGUGGUUAAUACCCAUCAGGAAAGACAUCACUCACAGAAGAAGCACCGGCUAACUCCGUGCCAGCAGCCGCGGUAAUACGGAGGGUGCGAGCGUUAAUCGGAAUUACUGGGCGUAAAGCGCGCGUAGGUGGCUUGAUAAGCCGGUUGUGAAAGCCCCGGGCUCAACCUGGGAACGGCAUCCGGAACUGUCAAGCUAGAGUGCAGGAGAGGAAGGUAGAAUUCCCGGUGCAGCGGUGAUAUGCGUAGAGAUCGGGAGGAAUACCAGUGGCGAAGGCGGCCUUCUGGACUGACACUGACACUGAGGUGCGAAAGCGUGGGUAGCAAACAGGAUUAGAUACCCCGGUAGUC